GAUGAACGCUAGCGAUAGGCCUAACACAUGCAAGUCGAGGGGCAGCAUAAAGGUAGCGAUACUUUGGUGGCGACCGGCGCACGGGUGAGUAACGCGUAUGCAACCUACCUACUACAAGGGGAUAACCCGGAGAAAUUCGGACUAAUACUCUAUAAUACAGGGGUCCCGCAUGGGAAUAUUUGUUAAAGAUUUAUUGGUAGUAGAUGGGCAUGCGUUCCAUUAGGUAGUUGGUGAGGUAACGGCUCACCAAGCCAUCGAUGGAUAGGGGAACUGAGAGGUUUAUCCCCCACACUGGAACUGAGACACGGUCCAGACUCCUACGGGAGGCAGCAGUGAGGAAUAUUGGUCAAUGGAGGCAACUCUGAACCAGCCAAGUCGCGUGAAGGACGACGGCCCUACGGGUUGUAAACUUCUUUUGUAAGGGAAUAAAGUUUAGUACGUGUACUAUUUUGCAUGUACCUUACGAAUAAGGAUCGGCUAACUCCGUGCCAGCAGCCGCGGUAAUACGGAGGAUCCGAGCGUUAUCCGGAUUUAUUGGGUUUAAAGGGUGCGCAGGCGGGAUGUUAAGUCGGCGGUGAAAUUUUGCGGCUCAACCGUAAAAGUGCCUUCGAAACUGGCAUUCUUGAGUGUAGAUGAAGUAGGCGGAAUUUGUGGUGUAGCGGUGAAAUGCAUAGAUAUCACGAGGAACUCCGAUUGCGCAGGCAGCUUACUAAGCUACAACUGACGCUCAUGCACGAAGGCGUGGGGAUCAAACAGG
rnacentral:rRNA from 1 species